AUGGAUUUGGGUCUGAGAUGGAUAUUCCUUCUUGUUCUACUAAAGGGUGUCCAGUGUGAGGUGAAGCUUGUGGAGACUGGAGGUGGACUGGUGCAGCCUGGUGGGUCAUUUAGACUCUCCUGUGCAGCCUCUGGUUUCACUUUUAGUGACUACUGGAUGAGCUGGUUCAGACAGACUCCUGAAAAGGCCUUGCAAUGGGUUGGAGAAAUUAAUCCUCAUGGCAGUACGACAAACCAUGCACCAUCCAUGAAGGAUCGAUUCACCAUCACCAGAGACAAUGCCAAGAACACUCUGUACCUGCAAAUGAACAGUGUGCGAUCUGAGGAAACAGCCACUUAUUAUUGUGCUAGACACACAAUGAGGGAACUUCAGUGUGAAUCCAGACAUAAACUUCACUGUGAGGCUGCUCAUGACCACAAGGGGGCAAACAGCACACAGAGAACACAUCCAUCCCAACAGAUUAUACAAGCAUAA